GUCUCCGUGGCGUAGCUGGCUAGCGCAUACGGCUGUUAACCAAGCUGAUACCGUAAGGUCGUCAGUUCGAUCCUGACCGGGGACG
rnacentral:tRNA from 1 species